ensembl:snoRNA SNORD58 Small nucleolar RNA SNORD58
UUGCUAUGAUGACAAUCUUAGGACACCUUUGGAAUAACCAUGAAAAAAAACAUGUAUUCUGAGCAAC